rnacentral:tRNA from 1 species
UCCUUGGUGGUCCAAUAGUUAGGACUCUCAGAUUUCACUGCCAAGGGCCCAGGUUCAAUCCCUGGUCAGGGAA